rnacentral:rRNA from 1 species
UACGUAGGGGGCUAGCGUUAUCCGGAAUUACUGGGCGUAAAGGGUGCGUAGGUGGUUUCUUAAGUCAGAGGUGAAAGGCUACGGCUCAACCGUAGUAAGCCUUUGAAACUGGGAAACUUGAGUGCAGGAGAGGAGAGUGGAAUUCCUAGUGUAGCGGUGAAAUGCGUAGAUAUUAGGAGGAACACCAGUUGCGAAGGCGGCUUCCUGGUCUGUAACUGACACUGAGGCGCGAAAGCGUGGGGAGCAAACAGGAUUAGAUACCCCCGUAGUCCCUGAGCGGGCUGG